AGCAGCCGCGGUAAUUCCAGCUCCAAUAGCGUAUAUUAAAGUUGUUGCAGUUAAAAAGCUCGUAGUUGAAUUUCGGGGUCAAUACGUCGGUCGUGCCUUCGGUACGUACUGGUGUUAUUGAUCUCUCCCUUCUGAUGAAUCAUGAUGUCAUUAAUUUGGUGUCGUGGGGAGUCAGGACUGUUACUUUGAAAAAAUUAGAGUGUUUAAAGCAGGCUCACGCUUGAAUACAUUAGCAUGGAAUAAUGAAAUAGGACGUUCGACCCUAUUUUGUUGGUUUCUAGGAUCAACGUAAUGAUUAAUAGGGAUAGUUGGGGGCAUUAGUAUUCAAUUGUCAGAGGUGAAAUUCUUGGAUUUAUUGAAGACUAACUACUGCGAAAGCAUUUGCCAAGGAUGUUUUCAUUAAUCAAGAACGAAAGUUAGGGGAUCGAAGACGAUCAGAUACCGUCGUAG
rnacentral:rRNA from 1 species